AUUCCAUGAUGUGGGCGCUUUCUGAGUAGGCAUUUGUACCUCUCCGAUGCCUCAUAGAGUGACUCACUGGGCUCCUAUAUGAAUUGGGUGAUGUCAUUCCUUAAUCU